CGGGAUGUAGCUCAGUCCGGUAGAGUGCUCGUCUGGGGGGCGAGAGGCCGCAGGUUCAAGUCCUGUCAUCCCGA
rnacentral:tRNA from 1 species